CCCUUAGACGUUCUGGGCCGCACGCGCGCUACACUGACACAGGCAACGAGCUUUCCUUUACCGAAAGGUAUGGGUAAUCUUUUGAAACUGUGCCGUGCUGGGGAUAGAUCCUUGCAAUUUUUGAUCUUAAACGAGGAAUUCCUAGUAAGCGCGAGUCAUCAACUCGCGUUGAUUACGUCCCUGCCCUUUGUACACACCGCCCGUCGCUACUACCGAUUGAAUGGCUUAGUGAGGCCUCAGGAUCCGCGCUUAAUGUGUGGAGAAUUUGGACAAACUACGUCAUUUAGAGGAAGUAAAAGUCGUAACA
rnacentral:rRNA from 1 species